GAUGAACGCUAGCGGCAGGCUUAAUACAUGCAAGUUGAGGGGCAGCAUGAUAUACGCGAGUAUAUUGAUGGCGACCGGCGGACGGGUGAGUAAUAGGUAGGAGACCUACCUCAUACAGGGGGAUAGCAUAGAGAAAUCUGUGGUAAUACCCCAUGAGGUUAUAUGAAUAGAGGCAUAUAAUCAAAGCAUAAGCGAUUAUGCGGUAUGAGAGGGGCCUACUGACCAUUAGCCUAGUUGGUGAGGUAAGGGCUCACCAAGGCGAAGAUGGUUAGGGGUUUUGAGAGAGAGACCCCCCACAUUGGAACUGAGAGACGGUCCAGACUCCUACGGGAGGCAGCAGUAGGGAAUAUUGGGCAAUGGGCGAAAGCCUGACCCAGCCAUGCCGCGUGAAGGAAGACGGCCUUAUGGGUUGUAAACUUCUUUACUACGCGAAUAGAGGUUAGUACGAGAUACUAAUAGGAAGUAGUGUAGUAAAAGCACCGGCUAACUCCGUG
rnacentral:rRNA from 1 species